UACGUAGGGUGCGAGCGUGUCCGGAAUUAUUGGGCGUAAAGAGCUCGUAGGCGGUUUGUUGCGUCGGCUGUGAAAUCCCGAGGCUCAACCUCGGGUCUGCAGUCGAUACGAGCAAACUAGAGUGUUGCAGGGGAGACUGGAAUUCCUGGUGUAGCGGUGAAAUGCGCAGAUAUCAGGAGGAACACCGGUGGCGAAGGCGGGUCUCUGGGCAACAACUGACGCUGAGGAGCGAAAGCGUGGGGAGCGAACAGG
rnacentral:rRNA from 1 species